rnacentral:rRNA from 1 species
CGAACGAAGCACUCUUUUAGAUUUCCUUCGGGGAAGAAGAAAUUGUGACUGAGUGGCGGACGGGUGAGUAACGCGUGGGCAACCUGCCCCAUACAGGGGGAUAACAGCCGGAAACGGCUGCUAAAACCGCAUAAGCGCACAAGGGCCGCAUGGCCUGGUGUGAAAAACUCCGGUGGUAUGGGAUGGGCCCGCGUCUGAUUAGCUAGUUGGCGGGGGAGAGGCCCACCAAGGCGACGAUCAGUAGCCGACCUGAGAGGGUGGCCGGCCACAUUGGGACUGAGACACGGCCCAAACUCCUACGGGAGGCAGCAGUGGGGAAUAUUGCACAAUGGGGGAAACCCUGAUGCAGCGACGCCGCGUGAGCGAAGAAGUAUUUCGGUAUGUAAAGCUCUAUCAGCAGGGAAGAAAAAUGACGGUACCUGAGUAAGAAGCACCGGCUAAAUACGUGCCAGCAGCCGCGGUAAUACGUAUGGUGCAAGCGUUAUCCGGAUUUACUGGGUGUAAAGGGAGCGCAGGCGGUGCGGCAAGUCUGAUGUGAAAGCCCGGGGCUCAACCCCGGGACUGCAUUGGAAACUACCGAACUAGAGUGUCGGAGAGGUAAGUGGAAUUCCUAGUGUAGCGGUGAAAUGCGUA